rnacentral:misc_RNA from 1 species
GUAGGUGAACCUGCGGAAGGAUCAUUAACACGUAUCCAACGUUAAACAACCCUGUGAACCUUGAACGUGCUCUCGUACACGCUCUAGCAGCAAUCCCUGGUAAAUCAUUGUUGACAAAUCUGGGACUUCUGCUAGAAAACCAUACGAUACGAGCGCCAGAGUAAGUGCGGCCUGGCAUCCUAGCAAUCUGUCAGUGGUUGCGCAAGGAUGGCGCAGUAAACGAUCGCUGUAGGCCCACACGGCCGGCGACCGGGCCUCUGUGCUUCGGCACCUAAUGACACCAGUUUUCUAACCCGGUGCGCUGUAACAACUGCACCACAAACUCGAACAACUGUUAACAAUGGAUAUCUUGGUUCUU